rnacentral:lncRNA from 1 species
UUGUGAAUUAUGAAAAGGAAAAUUCUAAUUCUUUCCUUGUAAUCACACUCUCUCAGGUUUGGAGAAAUCCCACGGUGCAGGAGGACCGAAGCAAUUGUGUAUCUGUGGAUUAAGGGUGCCUGUCAGCAGGGUGCCCCCUCAGGAGCCCUGCCCACCUAGAGGGCCACCAAGAGUUAUUUCAUGAGAGUGUCCGGAAUGCAGCUGAGCUGCAGGAUGUCAGAUAAAACUCCCACACCAAGAAAGAAGCAGAGGCAGCGUGCCUCCCAUCUCUUCCCUGGGGAGGGCCCUGGAGAAGGCUGGACUUUAUCCGAGACCGUGAUGAAUUACACUAUCUGGGCUUAUGAGAAAGAAAGGACAAAGGCUUUUGGGCAAGAUAUUGGGAUUGGAGAGAAGCCCGGAAUGCAGACAGGACUGGAGGCAGGAGACACCAUAGCCCUUUCAAGCAGAGCACAGGACUCUAACCUCCCUUACACGGAAAACUGAGCUCCUAUCAAUGGGCCUGGGAUGACAAGCUAACCAGCAUUCACAGCUCACUCCUGUUUCAUGGCCACGGACGACUGAAAAAUUCCCUAUACGUACAGCAAUGUCGGCUCUCUCCCAGCAUCUACCUCUACCACCGACUGUUUCAAAUUUAAUCUUGGCAAUUUCGGUUCUUUCUUUCGGGCUAUUAAAAAUCUGUGUGCAUCUUGAUUCAACCCCUUCAUUUUUACUUAAGGGGAGUUACUGAAGGAUUUGCCAAAGG